AACAAAAGAGUCCUAAUUCCCUACUAAUUGUGCGGCUAUUAUGGAAACAAAAAUUAGGGAAUUAAUACUCCCUUAAACCACCGCCUCUCUAAUCCCUACGGGCUUCGGCCCUUAAUAAAAUCAAACCCAAAAUACUUAAAAAUAUGAGUUUUGGACUUAUUUAAAUUUGGAAUAAUUAUCUUCAAGCCCAAUCUCUAAAAUUCCUCCAUCUUUCACCAAUUCUUCAUGCUUUUUCUCGACUUUCAUUCAUUCUCCCAUCUUCAAGCUUUCUCCUCCAUCCAUGCAAUUCCUGCGCCAUAUGUCAACAACUUGGGUAAUAUCAAGGAAAAAUCAACGGCAAAACGACACGGAAAUAGAUAACUAAAUCACACACAUCAAAUCCCCUCACACUUGAAUCAUACUUGCCCUCAAGUAUGAAGUGAAGAAAAGACUCAAUAGAGGGCAUAGCUAUCUAGACAAAACCUCCCCCCUCGACACGACACUAAAAACUCCAAAAGAACAUAACAAAACAACGGACACAACAACCAAGUGGAAAGAAAACAGAAAAGAACAAAGACACUAACAACGACAAACUCAACUAAAAACGACAGCCAAGCAAUCAUCAAAACACUAGUAACGUAGCAUACUGCCAAAUCGAACCAUGCAACUCACAAUCGAUUCUCAACUCUCAAAUCAAGAAAAGGAAAUGUCAAACAAGUGAUUUCAUUGUCUAUGUAGUCCAAAUCAAGCAACAACGAGUUCCUCUCAAAAUUCACUCUUCUCUCAAAUAUUUAUUUUGAAAAUUCACACACAAGAAGGAAAAUCCACUUAGUCGUGAUAUGUCAUGGUCACAUAGCAACUCAAGAAGGUGUUUUGUCAUUGGUUGUAAUGGGGCUAAGGACCAUUCAUUAUGUUGGCAAGAUCCUAGGGGUCCUAAGCUCAAGCAGUGUAACUCAAAGUGUGCACAUCUAAUCCAAACAUCAUCCACAAUUUCAAGUUCAUAGAGAAACAAAGAAAGCAACUAAACUUGGUGAAAAACUCCAACAAUAACAAUGAUACUACAUGCUCAACUCAAACUGGUGCAACAUCUUUUUUUUCUUUUUUUUUUUUCUUUUUUUCGAUUUUCUUUUUUUUCUUUUCUUUUUUUCUUUUCUUUUUCUUUUCUUUUUUUUCUAUUUUUUUCAUUUUUUUUUGCAGCACCUUUCCUUUUUAAUAUCCUCAAUCAACAUGCAAUCAUCAUCUACAAAAGAUCCCCACAAAUCGUCUCCCAAAAUGCUCCAUCCAAAAACUUAACUGAUCAAUGCACUGUUCAGCCAAACGGAUCACAGAUCCUUAUCAUUUUACACAAGACAGCAGUUUGGGCAAACGGCACAUAAGAACACAGCUUAACUUUCUCUAGUAAUUAAUGGAAUGAAGUUCAGAA
rnacentral:lncRNA from 1 species